GUAGAUGUAAGGAAGAUUAAAAUGAAGAGAAGCUCAACAUCAUCUUACCUGCGUUCACUCUGCUUCUUCCCUAUGCUCUCAGAAGCAGAAGCCGCCGCCAUUUCGGCUUUACCGCCGUCACCGCCGCCAUUUUGACUUCACCUCAAUCACGAGACGUCAGUAUCUCUCAGCAAACACUGACCUAUUGUGUCUACCAAGGGUCUUCAAAUGGUACAAAAGAAUCUGCUUCGCUACAGUGAGCUGAAGAAUGAAAUGGUUUCCCGGGGCAACAUCAGAU